rnacentral:rRNA from 1 species
CCUACGGGUGGCAGCAGUGAGGAAUAUUGGUCAAUGGACGAGAGUCUGAACCAGCCAAGUAGCGUUAAGGAUGACUGCCCUACGGGUUGUAAACUUCUUUUAUAUGGGAAUAAAACAGGGUAUGCAUACCCUCUUGUAUGUACCAUAUGAAUAAGGAUCGGCUAACUCCGUGCCAGCAGCCGCGGUAAUACGGAGGAUGCGAGCGUUAUCCGGAUUUAUUGGGUUUAAAGGGUGCGUAGGCGGGGUAUCAAGUCAGCGGUAAAAUCGUGGGGCUCAACUCCAUCCAGCCGUUGAAACUGAUGGUCUGGAGUGGGCGAGAAGUAGGCGGAAUGCGUGGUGUAGCGGUGAAAUGCAUAGAUAUCACGCAGAACUCCGAUUGCGAAGGCAGCAUACCGGCGCCCGACUGACGCUGAAGCACGAAAGCGUGGGUAUCGAACAGGAUUAGAUACCCGUGUAGUC